GUGUGUGUGUUUUGUUUACAUCGUGAGUCGAAAUGUCACACUGAACCGCUGAGCAGGGUGAUGGGGAACGCUGAUAGUGUUGUAGCGCAGAAACGACUGGCUCGUUUUCGUCCGGAUGAGAGACCUGUUAUAGAGGGGAUAUUUGACAGGCUUCAUGGAUCUGGCUCCUCUGUUUCAUCUGGAAAAACGGGGAAGGUUUUAUCCCUGGACAUGUUGAAGAUGACAAUGGCAAAGAUGGCCUCAGAAUCCAUGAUAAAGAGAGUACAGG